AAAAAUAUAAAAAUACUUGCCCUCUUAGUCAGAGACAUUUCAAGUCUAGGGUUGGGUUUCUCAUUUCUUUCUCUUCGAGUUCGAUUCCUUCUACAGCAGCUCCUCUCCUCCUUCUGUGACGACGAGAAGAUGCCGGCGACCACAUCUCCUCUCCUCUCAAGUAGGUUUUCACAGUUAUGAUUUCUCUUUCUCACUCUCAUCUCUUCUUCUCUCUCUGGCCUCUGUCGUCGGUUAUUUCAAAGCAGAGAACCUUGGCUUUCUCAGGUCGUCUUUGUCUCCAUCUCAGGAGUUGGGUUUUUUUUUUGGUGGUCUCUCAGAUUCUGAAAACCGCAGAGCAUAGACCAGAUCUUCUUCUUCAUCACCAUCAUCAAUGUUUGUCAGAAAGCUUGUGGAGAAGGCUUCCAAAAAGGCAAGUGAUGUUCCUUUUCUCUUAACCUUCAAUGAAUUUUCAACCCAGCAAUCAAUCUCUCUGUUUCUUUAAGAACAUGGUUCAAUAUCAAUUCAAUGAGAUCAGUCCAUGCUUUUGAAUUUGAUCCACUGUUCUUCUCCUCCUCUUCCCUCCUCUUGUUCUUCUUGUUCUUGUGAAAAAAAACAGAGAAGGGUACUCAAAAGCUAGAAUUAAUAACGAAUUAAAUCUGUCAUUAAGAUAAUAAUUGUCGGGGGAUCUGCAAAUAAAGUUACUUGCUAUCAUUUAUGCUGUAUCCUUUAGCCGUUUGAUGCACGUUGCCUCCAAAUUUUUAAUCAUUUUAGUACUGAACAUAUGUAUAUUAUUAUGUAUGUCAGGUUAAUAAUUAUGAACAAAUAAAUAACUGCCAUAUACAUAUUUUGUUGAUUAUUUUGAUGACAACAGUAAUAAAGAUGGGAUGAAAAAUAAAUAAAAUAUUA